GGGGAUGUGUCUCAGUGGUAGAGUGCAUGCUUUGCAUGUAUGACGCCCAGGUUCAAUCCCUGGUGUCUCCA